rnacentral:rRNA from 1 species
UACGAAGGGGGCUAGCGUUGCUCGGAAUUACUGGGCGUAAAGCGCACGUAGGCGGCUUUCUAAGUCGGGGGUGAAAUCCUGGAGCUCAACUCCAGAACUGCCUUCGAUACUGGAGAGCUCGAGUCCGGGAGAGGUGAGUGGAACUGCGAGUGUAGAGGUGAAAGUUCGUAGAUAUUCGCAAGAACACCAGUGGCGAAGGCGGCUCACUGGCCCGGUACUGACGCUGAGGCGCGGACAGCGUGGGGAGCAAACAGG